rnacentral:tRNA from 4 species
GUCCCCAUCGUCUAGAGGCCUAGGACACUACCCUUUCACGGUAGGUACCGGGGUUCGAAUCCCCGUGGGGAUGCCA